rnacentral:rRNA from 1 species
UACGUAGGGUGCGAGCGUUGUCCGGAAUUAUUGGGCGUAAAGAGCGUGUAGGCGGCCAGACAGGUCCGUUGUGAAAACUGGAGGCUUAACCUCCAGACGUCGAUGGAAACCGUCUGGCUAGAGUCCGGAAGAGGAGAGUGGAAUUCCUGGUGUAGCGGUGAAAUGCGCAGAUAUCAGGAAGAACACCCGUGGCUAAGGCGGCUCUCUAGUACGGUACUGACGCUGAGACGCGAAAGCGUGGGGAGCGAACAGG